CGCGUAGGCGGAUGGCACAGUCAGAUGUGAAAUUCCUGGGCUUAACCUGGGGGCUGCAUUUGAUACGUGUUGUCUAGAGUGAGGAAGAGGGUCGUGGAAUUCCCAGUGUAGAGGUGAAAUUCGUAGAUAUUGGGAAGAACACCGGUGGCGAAGGCGGCGACCUGGUCCUUGACUGACGCUGAGGCGCGAAAGCGUGGGGAGCAAACAGGAUUAGAUACCCUGGUAGUCCACGCUGUAAACGAUGUGUGCUGGAUGUUGGGUGACCUAGUCGCUCAGUGUCGUAGCUAACGCGAUAAGCACACCGCCUGGGGAGUACGGCCGCAAAGGUUGAAA
rnacentral:rRNA from 1 species